GUCUAGCCCCGAUGGAAGCAAAUAUCCUUUCGGGUCUCGUUUUUUUUUAACGAGACCCAAAAGAUAUUGUGGACAGCGGGACAACUG
rnacentral:sRNA from 1 species